AUUGAACGCUGGCGGCAUGCUUUACACAUGCAAGUCGAACGGCAGCGCGGGCUUUGGCCUGGCGGUGAGUGGCGAACGGGUGAGUAAUACCUCGGAAUGUGCCCAGUAGUGGGGGAUAGCUUGGCGAAAGCCGGACUAAUACCGCAUACGACCUGAGGGUGAAAGUGGGGGAUCUUCGGACCUCGCGCUAUUGGAGCGGCCGAUGUCAGAUUAGCUAGUUGGUGGGGUAAAGGCCUACCAAGGCGACGAUCCGUAGCUGGUCUGAGAGGAUGAUCAGCCACACUGGAACUGAGACACGGCCCAGACUCCUACGGGAGGCAGCAGUGGGGAAUAUUGGACAAUGGGCGAAAGCCUGAUCCAGCAAUGCCGCGUGUGUGAUGAAGGCCUUCGGAUUGUAAAGCACUUUUGGCGGGAACGAAAAGGACUAUGCCAAUACCACGGUUCGAUGACGUUACCCACAGAAUAAGCACCGGCUAACUACGUG
rnacentral:rRNA from 1 species